AUCGCUUCUUGGCCUUUUGGCUAAGAUCAAGUGUAGUAUCUGUUCUUAUCAGAGGAGGCGGGAAGCAAAGAAAGAUGGCGACGUCGUCGGCCAGUUUUUCUGAGAGGGAUGCAUGGACCUUUGGAACAAGAAAUACGCUGAGAUUUGAACUCAU